rnacentral:rRNA from 1 species
AGAGUUUGAUCCUGGCUCAGAACGAACGCUGGCGGCAGGCUUAACACAUGCAAGUCGAACGCUCGUGGCAACACGGGAGUGGCAGACGGGUGAGUAACGCGUGGGAACCUACCCUUUUCUACGGAAUAACUGAGGGAAACUUCAGCUAAUACCGUAUACGCCCUACGGGGGAAAGAUUUAUCGGAGAAGGAUGGGCCCGCGUCUGAUUAGCUAGUUGGUGAGGUAACGGCUCACCAAGGCGACGAUCAGUAGCUGGUCUGAGAGGAUGAUCAGCCACACUGGGACUGAGACACGGCCCAGACUCCUACGGGAGGCAGCAGUGGGGAAUAUUGGACAAUGGGCGCAAGCCUGAUCCAGCCAUGCCGCGUGAGUGAUGAAGGCCUUAGGGUUGUAAAGCUCUUUCGCCGGUGAAGAUAAUGACGGUAACCGGAGAAGAAGCCCCGGCUAACUUCGUGCCAGCAGCCGCGGUAAA